rnacentral:rRNA from 1 species
CGGCGGACGGGUGAGUAACGCAUAGGAAUCUGCCCGGUAGUGGGGGAUAACCUGGGGAAACCCAGGCUAAUACCGCAUACGUCCUACGGGAGAAAGCAGGGGAUCUUCGGACCUUGCGCUAUCGGAUGAGCCUAUGUCGGAUUAGCUGGUUGGUGAGGUAAUGGCUCACCAAGGCGACGAUCCGUAGCUGGUCUGAGAGGAUGAUCAGCCACAUCGGGACUGAGACACGGCCCGAACUCCUACGGGAGGCAGCAGUGGGGAAUAUUGGACAAUGGGCGCAAGCCUGAUCCAGCCAUGCCGCGUGUGUGAAGAAGGCCCUCGGGUUGUAAAGCACUUUCAGUGGGGAAGAAAUCCUCGGGGCUAAUACCCUCGAGGGAGGACAUCACCCACAGAAGAAGCACCGGCUAACUCCGUGCCAGCAGCCGCGGUAAUACGGAGGGUGCGAGCGUUAAUCGGAAUUACUGGGCGUAAAGCGCGCGUAGGCGGCCUGAUAAGCCGGGUUGUGAAAGCCCCGGGCUCAACCCUGGG